AGAACGAACGCUGGCGGCAGGCCUAAAACAUGCAAGUCGAACGCUGUAGCAAUACAGAGUGGCGCACGGGUGAGUAACAUGUGGGACUAUGCCUUUUGGUACGGAACAACUUUUGGAAACGAAAGCUAAAUACCGUAUGGUCCCUCCGGGGUAAAGAUUUAUCGCCAAAAGAGUAGCCCGCACUAGAUUAGCUAGUUGGUAAGGUAAUGGCUUACCAAGGCGACGAUCUAUAGCUGGUCUGAGAGGACGAUCAGCCACACUGGGACUGAGACACGGCCCAGACUCCUACGGGAGGCAGCAGUGGGGAAUAUUGGACAAUGGGGGAAACCCUGAUCCAGCGACGCCGCGUGUGUGAAGAAGGCCUGCGGGUUGUAAGCACUUUUAGUGGGGACAAAAGUCACGGGUUAAUACCGCGUGAUCUUGAUUUAACCUACAGAAAAGCACCGGCUAACUCUGUGCCAGCAGCCGC
rnacentral:rRNA from 1 species